UUCUUCCUUUCUCUCUCGGUGAUAGCUCCCAUAUUCCCUAAUUCUUUCCCAAUUCCUCUCACCAAAUUCAUUUCAGCAUAUUUUUGAUUAUUUCGCCCUUACACUUCCUGAAGAUUUUUCCCAACAUCUCUUUGACCUGGGACCUUCUCGUUCCAGCUACAGUUCAAAAGCUGUGAUCACAUUUUCAAUGCGAUGGCUGAAGGUGGAGCUGACAGGAUUGAAAGGUCCAUUCUGGCCACAGGUGGAGGAGGCAGAGAGCCGACUGUUGCGACCCAUAAGCAAGUCUCCAAGAGGUGGAUAACAUGAG